rnacentral:rRNA from 1 species
UACGUAGGUGGCGAGCGUUGUCCGGAUUUACUGGGCGUAAAGAGCGCGCAGGCGGUCGUCCAAGUCGCGUGUGAAAGCCCCCGGCUCAACUGGGGAGGGUCACGCGAUACUGAUCGACUCGAAGGCAGGAGAGGGUAGUGGAAUUCCCGGUGUAGUGGUGAAACGCGUAGAUAUCGGGAGGAACACCAGUGGCGAAGGCGACUACCUGGCCUGUUCUUGACGCUGAGGCGCGAAAGCUAGGGGAGCAAACGGG